rfam:Octopus bimaculoides Scaffold29013_contig_107, whole genome shotgun sequence.
AUUAUUGCGCAGAGGCGGUACCAUGGCCAAUGAGGUAAAUCUGAGGCGUGGUUAUUGCUAGUUGAAAAUUAUUAUUAUUAUUAUUAUUAUUAUUAUUAAGACGGUGAGCUGGCAGAAUUGUGAGCACGUUGGAUGAAAU